rnacentral:tRNA from 1 species
UGAGGGCCUUGGCGAUCUCGACGAGCUGCCGUUCGCCGAUGCCGAGCGUGGUCACCGGUUGGUCGGGGCGGAUGUGUUCCAGGCCCAUGCCGUCGA